rnacentral:rRNA from 1 species
GUAAUGGCUCACCAUGGCUUCGACGGGUAGCCGGCCUGAGAGGUGACCGGUCACACUGGGACUGAGACACGGCCCAGACUCCUACGGGAGGCAGCAGUGGGGAAUAUUGGACAAUGGGCGGAAGCCUGAUCCAGCAACGCCGCGUGAGGGAUGACGGCCUUCGGGUUGUAAACCUCUUUCGCUUGUGACGAAGUUUUGUCUUUUUGGGCGAAGUGACGGUAACAGGUAAAGAAGCACCGGCCAACUACGUGCCAGCAGCCGCGGUAAUACGUAGGGUGCGAGCGUUGUCCGGAAUUAUUGGGCGUAAAGGGCUCGUAGGCGGUUUGUCGCGUCGGGAGUGAAAACCAGGUGCUUAACACCUGGCUUGCUUUCGAUACGGGCAGACUAGAGGUAUGCAGGGGAGAACGGAAUUCCUGGUGUAGCGGUGAAAUGCGCAGAUAUCAGGAGGAACACCGGUGGCGAAGGCGGUUCUCUGGGCAUGACCUGACGCUGAGGAGCGAAAGUGUGGGGAGCGAACAGGAUUAGAUACCCUGGUAGUCCACACCGUAAACGU